rnacentral:rRNA from 1 species
GAUGAACGCUGGCGGCGUGCCUAAUACAUGCAAGUCGAGCGAACGGACGAGAAGCUUGCUUCUCUGAUGUUAGCGGCGGACGGGUGAGUAACACGUGGAUAACCUACCUAUAAGACUGGGAUAACUUCGGGAAACCGGAGCUAGUACCGGAUAAUAUUUUGAACCGCAUGGUUCAAAAGUGAAAGACGGUCUUGCUGUCACUUAUAGAUGGAUCCGCGCUGCAUUAGCUAGUUGGUAAGGUAACGGCUUACCAAGGCAACGAUGCAUAGCCGACCUGAGAGGGUGAUCGGACACACUGGAACUGAGACACGGUCCAGACUCCUACGGGAGGCAGCAGUAGGGAAUCUUCCGCAAUGGGCGAAAGCCUGACGGAGCAACGCCGCGUGAGUGAUGAAGGUCUUCGGAUCGUAAAACUCUGUUAUUAGGGAAGAACAUAUGUGUAAGUAACUGUGCACAUCUUGACGGUACCUAAUCAGAAAGCCACGGCUAACUACGUG